GGAAAUGUAGAAAGCGGAAAAGAUGCAGGGAAGCUAAUGAGCAUUCACAGUAACCUCUUCUUGCUUUGCACCAUGGGUAACAUUCCCUGAUUUGGAACUGCUUUUUUUUCCUGAGUUCAUGAGUCCCAGAAUGCCCCUGAGUUCAGAGGAGCAUCUUGUAUAAGUGUCCUGAUGGUGUCCAAAAGGCAGAGGUCUCUGUCUGAGUGAUUGCAGAAGUUCAAAUAGAAUUUUUAAAAAGUCAGUCCUUCUCUGGGCAGGAGGGAGACUCCCUCAAAGGUCAAUUAAUAAUUUCUCAUAUUCAAGCUUGUAAAGACCUCCUCAUUACAGCUUC
rnacentral:lncRNA from 1 species